AAUUGAAUAGUCGCGUAUACAUGUGUAUAUGAGGAAAGUCCGGGCUUCACAGAGCAAGGGUGCUGGAUAACGUCCAGUGAGGGAAACCUUAAGGAAAGUGCAACAGAAAAUAAACGCCACUUUAUGUGGUAAGUGUGAAAAGGCGAGGUAAGAGCUCACCGCUGGUAUGGUGACAUAUCGGGUCAGUGCAAACCCCACUCGAAGCAACGCUAAAAUAAGACAUAAGGUUGCUCGCCAGUUCUUAAAAAAGCGGCUAGAGGUAUAUAGUAAUAUAUAUUCGAGAUAAAUGACUAUUCUAGACAGAACCCGGCUUAUAGAUUUACUUU
rnacentral:RNase_P_RNA from 1 species